ensembl:lncRNA JUN-DT JUN divergent transcript
GCGCCGAGUUGCUUCCGGGAAAACAAGCCCAGAAGGCGGCGGACACUCGCAUAAAGUCACGCAGUAGUACUCGGAGCCCGGGGUAGAACCUGGACUUCAAAUCUCUGCACUCCCGGCCGGGUGGUGGGCGCAUAUCCUGGGUAGCCUCUAGGAAGCGCUAGACACAUGGAACCAAGGCAGAUUCAGCCUGGCAGCUGGCAAGUCAUGGAGCACUGCCUGUCCAUCUGCGAGCUAACAACAGUCGCGCUGGAAGUCAACAAGGGAAAUGGAAAGGGAGAGACCCAGCCUCCACAGGGGCUCACGCCCUGGGACCUGUGCCAGUGUGAACAAGGUUUUCCGGGUGAGGAUUUCCCCUCGUAGAAUGGGAAUAGCAGCUGAAGGCGAGCUAAAGAGAACUGCUUGUGCUUUCCUUGUAACAUUGUCUUAUUUAUUAAAGCUUUGUAACCACCC